UACAGAGGGGGCAAGCGUUAUUCGGAAUUAUUGGGCGUAAAGGGCGCGUAGGCGGCCUUGCAAGUGACGGGUGAAAUCCCUCGGCUUAACCGAGGAACUGCCUGUCAAACUGCGUGGCUUGAGACCAGGAGAGGUGAGUGGAAUUCCCAGUGUAGCGGUGAAAUGCGUAGAUAUCGGGAGGAACACCUGUGGCGAAGGCGGCCCCCUGGUUGGAUACUGACGCUGAGACGCGAAAGCGUGGGGAGCAAACAGGAUUGAGAAACCCU
rnacentral:rRNA from 1 species